CCCCAGCAUUUGACUCACCAUUUUUCCAAUACCAAGACUCACUCCAUGCACCAGCCUGCUUUGCCUACCAUGUCAUUUUCCUGGCAUUAGACAUCUGACAUCCCCAUACAAUGCGUAAGAAAGUUGAAUGUCACAUCACGGCCUCCUCUAGCCCGUGUUAUAUGCUGUACAUCAAAUACUUAGCAAAUAUCCCCCUCCUAGAAUUAUAAAGCGCUGGAGAAUGUGUUAGCAAAAUGUAAAUGCUAAUAAUAACAAGAAAGUAUGACUGUUACCGCAGUGUGAGCACCCUCUGGUGGUGCUCGAAGACAGCAACCAGAGGGGUGUUUUAAAUAAAUACUCCAGACACCUAAAGUACUUUAGCUUGCUGAAGUGCUUUACAUGUGAAGACUGUAUCCUCUUUUUUUCCACUUAAGCAAAAGUGCUGAUUUCAAUAAAAAUUGGCACUUUUAUAAAUGAAUCUUGUUAUACUCACCUGGCUGUCAAUCUAAAGACUGGUUCGGUUACUUCCUCACAAUGUCACUUGCUCAGUGGAGCUAAACUCAAGAGGCAGCAGUUGCUCAUAGCACCUGCUUUGCAAACACUUCUCAUUGAGCUGCAGUGGGAAGACUGAAAUUGGACAGCCACAUAAAAUCUGGGUGGGGUUAGAAGGGAAGUGCUUGCAAAAGCUUCAGAGAAACGUUCUGCAACUUUCGCAAGCUGUUUUAGAUAUACCCCCAAUUUUUUUUUUUUUUUAAAGCAUUAUUAAAUACAUGAAUGUUUUCUCUUGGGUACAUUUACAGGGAUUUUUUAUUUAUCUUUGAUUUUGAUAGUGGAGUGUCCCUUUAACUCUGCAAUGAAAACAUUGCAUAUUCUACAAAAACAGCAAUGUUUUACAUUCCAGAUUUAAAAUGACAAGGGCACUGCACCCAGACCACUUCAUUGAGAUUAAGUGGUCUGGGUGUCUUUAGUGUCCUGCAAAACACAAAUAGCACAAGAUUACUGCUGAGAUUUAAAAGAUCUAGAUUAUUUUUUUUAUAAAAAAACAAACAUGAAAUAAUCAAACUAUUAAAAGGCAAAGUUAAUAUGCUUGUGUGCACUGGUAUUGUUAAAUGUCAACCACGGAUAGUUAAAAGUGUGAUGUCUAUUGUAGAUAAAGUACAAUAAAACCUAUACACGAAAGAGUUAAGCUAUAGUUUAGAAGAUAUUUAGAUAUGAGCCCUUUAGGGCUCCACAAAUAAAUUACACAAGUCAAACAACGCCACGCAAAACAUAGUAUUGAGCUGGAAUGAAGACAGAGGACCAAAAGAUAAAUAGCUAAAACUUGAGGAUUCAGUCAGUUUAGUGCCCUAAACUUAAAUGAAAUAGUUAUUUUUAAGCACCAUAACAAAUUUGCAACAUAGGAAAGUUUACAGUGCACCAACUCAUCUCCGAGUAUAAAAAAGACAAAAAUGAACAAAAAAGAAGACAUUUCUGAAGAAGCCUUAUUAGGCAAAACGCAUUAAGUGGGACUCUCCUUCAUACCUUUUAUGUUUUUUUACUAUGUUUGUUUAUAUCAAAGUAUACUUUUAUUAGUUACUUUUUAUACUCAUUCUUUUUGCUACUUCCUGGAUCCUGCAUAUCCCUGGUGGGGAUUAUACCACCCAGGCUGUUCACACUAGAGAAAGUUUUAUGCUCUAUAAAUUAUAAGUACAUUACUAUUCAUUAUUUAUUUCACCAUAAGUACUUACUUCACCAUUGGCUGCUAUUUCUCUUUACAUAUAUUACGCAUACUGCACUUUGAAAUACCUGUGUCAACUAGAACAUAUCCUGAGACGGGGAUCGUACCGUCCAAGCGCAUCACAGUUGAUCUCUGUUAUAGCUCAUGUAAAUGUGAGUGGAUUGUGUAUAGUUAUAUUCACCACUUCACGAUAUACGUUUACUGUAUUGCACUAUUAUUUUUAUUUCAUUUUAUUCCGAGGUUUUGAUCUAUUGGAAAUACCUAGGAAUAUAUGUACGUACAUUUUGUAUUUAUAUAAAUUAUUAGGCGCGGUAUACGCCUUCUUUUUUGUUCUCUUUAUCUAUCCACAAGGUUUUGGGAAUCCUUGUUCUGUAUACUGCUGCCUGUUCACAAUUCACUAUAGUGAGCGCCUAUUACCCUUUCCUUUUUUGUCAUCUCCGAGUAUGGCUUAGAACUACAGUUCUUUGUAAAAUAUUCUACAGCUAUAUAAAAGUCUCCAAAAAGUUCAGUCAGGCAGUCAUAAUUCUGAGAAACUCCUGCUGGACAGGAGUGUAUGGGAUAAGAUCAGAUCUAAUUGACAGAAUGAGAUUCACCCAAUUAGUAGAGCCUCUUCCUGGUCCAGGGAAUGUAGUAGCUUUAGGAACUUUAUUAUUUAUUUUAGGAUUUUUUUUUCUUUUCUGCCAUAAUCUAUAUGUUAUCUAUAUAUAGUGGGGUGCUUUUUGACAAUUGCACAGUUAAUUAAAUUGUGUUUACAUUUUUUUUUUUAUUACUCUAUAACUCUUCUGUUUAUAUAUUGGAUUUCCA